ACGUAGGGGGCGAGCGUUGUCCGGAUUUAUUGGGCGUAAAGAGCGUGUAGGCGGCCUGUCAAGUCUGAUGUGAAAUCUUGCGGCUUAACCGCAAGCCUGCAUUGGAAACUGACAGGCUAGAGUCUGGAUGAGGAAGGUGGAAUUCCUGGUGUAGCGGUGAAAUGCGCAGAUAUCAGGAGGAACACCGGUGGCGAAGGCGGCCUUCUGGGACAGUACUGACGCUGAGACGCGAAAGCGUGGGGAGCAAACA
rnacentral:rRNA from 1 species